AGCCACGGACGACCGUGGUGCAGACGAACAAGGCGGGACGGCCCG
rfam:Pseudomonas pseudoalcaligenes KF707 = NBRC 110670 strain KF707 ctg1630, whole genome shotgun sequence.